CCCUUCGUGGUGUAGUGGUCAGCACGUUCGACGCGUAACCGAGAGGUCCGUGGUUCGAUUCCAUGGAAAGGCG
rnacentral:tRNA from 1 species